rnacentral:rRNA from 1 species
CUUGGUCAUUUAGAGGAAGUAAAAGUCGUAACAAGGUUUCCGUAGGUGAACCUGCGGAAGGAUCAUUAAUGAUUGAACGUCUGUCGAGCUUGCUCACAGGCACAUCAUAUCCAUAACACCUGUGCACUUGUCGGAUGGCUUAGUGAAGACCGCAAGGUUGGAUCUAUCCAUCUACUUUACAUAACAAUUCUGUAACAAAUGUAGUCUUAUUAUAACAUAAUAAAACUUUCAACAACGGAUCUCUUGGCUCUCGCAUCGAUGAAGAACGCAGCGAAAUGCGAUAAGUAAUGUGAAUUGCAGAAUUCAGUGAAUCAUCGAAUCUUUGAACGCACCUUGCGCUCUUUGGUAUUCCGAAGAGCAUGCCUGUUUGAGUGUCAUGAAAAUAUCAACCUUGACUUGGGUUUUGCGCUCUAGUCUCGGCUUGGAAUUGGGUGCUUGCCGCUUUUACGAGCGGCUCACCUUAAAUGUAUUAGCUGGAUCUGUCUUUGAGACUUGGUUUGACUUGGCGUAAUAAGUAUUUCGCUAAGGACAUUCUUCGGAGUGGCCUCGUUUCUAGGACGCUUGUCCGCUUUCCAAUACAAGUUCCACCUCGUGGACAUGACUUUUUAUUAUCUGGCCUCAAAUCAGGUAGGACUACCCGCUGAACUUAAGCAUAUCAAUAAGCGGAGG